rnacentral:rRNA from 1 species
GCUUGUCUCAAAGAUUAAGCCAUGCAUGUCUAAGUGUAAAUACGUCUACACUGUGAAACUGCGAAUGGCUCAUUAAAUCAGUUAUCGUUUAUUUGAUGAUCUCUUGUUACAUGGAUAACCGUAGUAAUUCUAGAGCUAAUACAUGCGUCAAGCCCCGACUUCGGAAGGGGUGUAUUUAUUAGAUAAAAAACCAAUGCCCUUCGGGGCUCCUUGGUGAAUCAUAAUAACUUAACGAAUCGCAUGGCCUUGCGCCGGCGAUGGUUCAUUCAAAUUUCUGCCCUAUCAACUUUCGAUGGUAGGAUAGUGGCCUACCAUGGUAUCAACGGGUAACGGGGAAUUAGGGUUCGACUCCGGAGAGGGAGCCUGAGAAACGGCUACCACAUCCAAGGAAGGCAGCAGG